CUAGUUUAAAAAUUAAACAACAAUGAAAACUGUCUGUCGGGGGACUAUUCAAAGACCUUUGGUCUCAGACCCCCAAUCACUCAGGAGUACCUUGAGACCUGUUUCUUCCCGUUGAGCGGCAGUCACGGUUCUAACCUGGUUUUCCUAAUGGCUGGUAUCCUCUGACCUUUUCUGUCCUGGCAGUGACUUCUAUGCAUUUUGGCAGUGACUGUCUGAAUUUCUGGUUCAACCCUGAUCUCAGCCUCUCGGGCUUUCUCUCUCCUUUAAUUCCUCCCACUGGUGGCCAAGGCUUCUGCCGCCCUUACCCUUCCUGGAGCAACCCGUGCUUCUGAAAAAUGACCAUGCCGAAGGGAAACUAACACUUCCAGCCUGGAGCAGGUCUUGUCAAUCUGAUUUUUAAAUGAUGGAGGAGGCUUGAGGACAAAGCUCAUGGUGGCAUUACUGCCAUCCAGGAUGAUGCAAAACUCAAGCGGAAAGGAGGGAAGGAUCUUCCAAAUGGGAGCACAUUCCCAGACGCAGAGGACAGCGAGGUAUUUAAAGUGAACUGGAACAAACCUGCAACAUCAGGUGCGUUCUGCCUUCAAAAAUAGCUGCCAGUUAGAAAGGGUUAUUUACAUAUUGAUUUCAUGCUAACUUUGUAAUGGAAUGUGCUGCCUGCCUGCCUGCCUGAGACCUAACAACUGUCAUCAUAAUUUUUUCUAAAAAUACAGUCAGAGAAAAACACUCGUUGAACCCUCCACCAGAAAGAGGCUACAAAAGACCACCGAUCCCAAAUCUACUCGUCAGACCACCACGGGCAGGGACUCUCAACCACCACAGCUGAGGAAUAUUCCACAGCUGCAGCCGGCCCUCCCUUCUUCCAACCAGCCUGCACUCUCAUUUUUUUGUCUUUCUAGAAAACCUGUCUUGUUCAAAGGCCUGAUGCAGCUGAUUGGGUUGUGAUCCUGGGCAUAUGGAUGGCAUAUUUGCUGCGAGCUAGCCGCCCCCGCUGCUGGGGACGAAUCUUUCAUUCAUGAACAGAAGCUUGUUAGGCCAACUCCGACUCUCAAGCCACUUAAUUAAAUUGUGGGAAGU